GACAGAGGGUGCAAACGUUGUUCGGAAUUACUGGGCGUAAAGCGCGUGUAGGCGGCCCUGCAAGUCGGAUGUGAAAUCCCACGGCUCAACCGUGGAAGUGCAUUCGAAACUGCAGGGCUAGAGUCCUGGAGAGGAAGGUGGAAUGCUUGGUGUAGAGGUGAAAUUCGUAGAUAUCAAGCGGAACACCGGUGGCGAAGGCGGCCUUCUGGACAGUGACUGACGCUGAGACGCGAAAGCGUGGGGAGCAAACAGGGAUUAAGAAACCCUAG
rnacentral:rRNA from 1 species